UUUUUCUAGCUGAAUCAAACAACUUGUCUGCCAUCACGUCUUUUGGGAAAAGUAAAUUUAAAUCACCAUCCAAUAGACUGGAUUUCUCAUGUUCAAGAGGUUUUGUUUCGGUAUGAGAGAAAAAAGGAUGUCUAGGUGAUGUCUUUAGGUUCCAUUUGCCGUAGUGACCAGUUGUUUGCCUUGUCUAGAAAGCAAAAUUUCCUAAUUGAAAACAACUAAUGUCUUAAGCAAAACUUUAUUAUCUAAAUGGGAAAAACAGAAUGAGACCCAUAAAAGUAUCUUUAAAAAGACUCAACCAUUAUUUUCAAAUUCGGGACCAUUCUCUAAGAAUACCAAUACUUUUCUUGUAAGGUCUUCAUAGACUGAAAACUAGGAUUGUGAAAUUUCAAUCAUUAUCCAUUGCAAUUCAAUUGACGACUUAUCCAAUCUGCACUUUUCAAGCAUUGCUAGAAAAGCGGUUUUUUUAAAUUUUUAGAUGGCAACUGGCCACAAGCAUGCAUCAAGAUAUUGUUUGGGAAUAAACGUUAUAUGACAAAUA